rnacentral:rRNA from 1 species
CAUAUCCACCUUGUGUGCAAUGUCAGUCGAUCUUCUUCAUGGGAGAUCGACCAAACAUCAACCUUUAUCUUUUAACUCUUUGUCUGAAAAAUAUUAUGAAUAAACAAUUCAAAAUACAACUUUCAACAACGGAUCUCUUGGCUCUCGCAUCGAUGAAGAACGCAGCGAAAUGCGAUACGUAAUGUGAAUUGCAGAAUUCAGUGAAUCAUCGAAUCUUUGAACGCAUAUUGCGCUCUUUGGUAUUCCGAAGAGCAUGCUUGUUUGAGUAUCAGUAAACACCUCAAAGCUUUUGGAUUUUUUAAUCGAAAAGCUUUGGACUUGAGCAAUCCCAACACCAAUCUUUUUGAGAUCGGUGGCGGGUUGCUUGAAAUGCAGGUGCAGCUGGACAUUCUCCUGAGCUAAAAGCAUAUUCAUUUAGUCCCGUCAAACGGAUUAUUACUUUUGCUGCAGCUAACAUAAAGGGAGUUUGACCGUAUUGGCUGACUGAUGCAGGAUUUCACAAGGGUCGGCAACGAUUCUUGUUAAACUCGAUCUCAAAUCAAGUAAGACUACCCGCUGAACGUAUUCA